rnacentral:rRNA from 1 species
UACGUAGGCAGCGAGCGUUGUUCGGAGUUACUGGGCGUAAAGAGUGCGUAGGCGGUUUUCUAAGUUUGGUGUGAAAUCUCCCGGCUUAACUGGGAGGGUGCGCCGAAGACUGGAAGGCUUGAGUAUGGGAGAGGUAAGCGGAAUUCCUGGUGUAGCGGUGAAAUGCGUAGAUAUCAGGAGGAACACCUGUGGUGUAGACGGCUUACUGGACCAUCACUGACGCUGAGGCACGAAAGCGUGGGUAGCAAACAGG